rnacentral:rRNA from 1 species
UACGUAGGGGGCAAGCGUUGUCCGGAAUCAUUGGGCGUAAAGCGCGUGUAGGCGGCUCGGUAAGUCUGCUGUGAAAGUCCAGGGCUCAACCCUGGGAUGCCGGUGGAUACUGUCGAGCUCGAGUCCGGAAGAGGCGAGUGGAAUUCCUGGUGUAGCGGUGAAAUGCGCAGAUAUCAGGAGGAACACCGAUGGCGAAGGCGGCUCGCUGGGACGUGACUGACGCUGAGACGCGAAAGCGUGGGGAGCAAACGGG